GAUGAACGCUGGCGGCGUGCCUAAUACAUGCAAGUCGAGCGAACAGAUGAGGAGCUUGCUCCUCUGACGUUAGCGGCGGACGGGUGAGUAACACGUGGAUAACCUACCUAUAAGACUGGGAUAACUUCGGGAAACCGGAGCUAAUACCGGAUAAUAUAUUGAACCGCAUGGUUCAAUAGUGAAAGACGGUUUUGCUGUCACUUAUAGAUGGAUCCGCGCCGCAUUAGCUAGUUGGUAAGGUAACGGCUUACCAAGGCAACGAUGCGUAGCCGACCUGAGAGGGUGGUCGCCAACAGUGUGAGUGAGACGCACACCACACACAGAGGGGGGGCAACGGGAGAGACUCUGCCGGAAGGGGGGAGGGGCGGAGGGAGCACCCCGGGGGGAGGAAUAAAGGUCUCGGGACCGUAAAACUUUUUUAUGAGGAAAAAAAAAAGGUUAAAGAAACUGUGCAGGUUUUGACGGUACCUAAUAAAAAAGCCAGGGCUAACUCCGUG
rnacentral:rRNA from 1 species